rnacentral:rRNA from 1 species
UGGGGAAUCUUGCGCAAUGCGCGAAAGCGUGACGCAGCAACACCGCGUGAGGGAAGACGGCCUUAGGGUUGUAAACCUCUUUCAGAUGGGACGCGGUACCGUCAGAAGAAGCUCCGGCUAACUACGUGCCAGCAGCCGCGGUAAUACGUAGGGAGCGAGCGUUGUCCGGAAUCAUUGGGCGUAAAGAGCAUGUAGGUGGAUCAAUUAGUCUGCUGUGAAAGUCAAAGGCUCAACCUUUGAAAGCCGGUGGAUACUGUUGGUCUAGAGUACGGAAGAGGCGAGUGGAAUUCCUGGUGUAGCGGUGGAAUGCGCAGAUAUCGUCAAGAACACCGAUAGCGAAGGCAGCUUACUAAGCUGUAACUGACGCUGAGGCACGAAAGUGU